rnacentral:rRNA from 1 species
AGUGAACGCUGGCGGUAGGCCUAACACAUGCAAGUCGAACGGCAGCACAGUAAGAGCUUGCUCUUACGGGUGGCGAGUGGCGGACGGGUGAGGAAUACAUCGGAAUCUACUUUUUCGUGGGGGAUAACGUAGGGAAACUUACGCUAAUACCGCAUACGACCUACGGGUGAAAGCAGGGGAUCUUCGGACCUUGCGCGAUUGAAUGAGCCGAUGUCGGAUUAGCUAGUUGGCGGGGUAAAGGCCCACCAAGGCGACGAUCCGUAGCUGGCCUGAGAGGAUGAUCGGCCACACUGGAACUGAGACACGGUCCAGACUCCUACGGGAGGCAGCAGUGGGGAAUAUUGGACAAUGGGCGCAAGCCUGAUCGAGCAAUACCGCGUGAGUGAAGAAGGCCUUCGGGUUGUAAAGCCCUUUUGUUGGGAAAGAAAAGAAGCAGGUUAAUACCCCGCUGUUCUGACGGUACCCAAAGAAUAAGCACCGGCUAACUUCGUG